AUUAAAUAAAACACAAGUCCUAAUAAACUUGUAAAGAGAAAAUGGCGGGAAAAGUGUGUAUGGUGAUGGCAUUGAUAAUGAUAGGGUGUGUUUUACAAGCAUGCAAUGGAGCCAAUGUUGAUGAGAGCCAACCAACACAAGAUCCAAAAUUCGAUUGCUUCAGAACAUGUUCCAUAGCCUGUGGCAAACAAAACAAACCUUGUUACGAUGAAUGUUUGACCAAAUGUGGUCUCCCACAGAGACUUCCUAGACCAACAACAUCUUCAUCACCUUCCUCCACCGCUUGAUCUGAUCUUAUUCAAUUUGUGAUUUGUGUCUUUAUUGCUAAGGAUGUCAUCUAUUUGUUUUUCUUUAGCAUGAAAAUUAAAUGAGAUUUAUAUGAUAAAGUUUUUGAUUAUAUAUCUGGUUUUAUCUUGACUUAUUCAAACUAGUUAGUACGUUCCAGCAUAAAAUGAUUCAAGACUCGUUAGCUUUCUUUCAAAUAAAACCACUAAAUAAACAAUUUGGAUUAUAUUAAAACGAAACAAUUCAAUUAUCAUGAUACUGUUCCUUCUGUUAAAACACAUGUGAUCACAGAUUCCCAAUUCAAAAGAACAAAAUGGCUGACUCAUUGUUUAGACAGAAGCUAGGUCAAAGACUUGGUUCGGUUGGUUUCUUCUUGAAAGGAACUUUGGAUGUGCACAAGACGUUGAAGGUUGUUUGGUUGGUGAAGAUGUUUACAUUGUUCAGUCAAGGCCACAGCCUCUGUAGAAUAUUUUCCUUUUUUUAUGUUUUAUCAAGCGAAUUAUAAUAAAAAUGUCGGAAACAAUUCUGCAUUACGUCACUUCCAUAUGUUAAGUAAGUUUAAUUAUGAUACAUACAGUAUAUAAUUGCUAUUCAUAUCUCUUGCUCACAUAGUGUUUUGGCUAAUUUCAAGAGAUCACCUUGAUUUACUGAAUGGCACAACGAGAAAGAAACAAGGAAAAUAAAAAUCCUACAUGACAUGACCAUCUCGAUCAGGUACUUGCCAUCUAUUUUCGUAGUUUUAACUCUUUUGAAACACUAAAAUCAAACAGACAGAAAUCACGAAUCUAUUCAAGUCAAACUAAACUAAAACAACAAACGCACAUAAAUAACAAAUCUACUAAACAUAGAGGCAAAUACUCAGUAUAUAAACGCCUUCCUCUCCACCACCUAUUUGCACAUCUUAUCAGACUAUCACUACUUGUUACAUCUUAAAGAUAUUUCCAAUUCAUUAAAUUACAAAAAUAAUUGAUUAAAGAAUUAUUAAUGUUUCUAUAUCAAAAGAUCUGAGUUUCAAGUUUCAGAAAAAAAAAUUAUGUUUUUAACGGAGACAAUAUUUACUGUAACAGUUAAGGAUUGCAGUAAAGUCUAAAUGCCCGUAAGACAAGUAAUUGUCCGUUAUAAAAUAAUCGAUGUAGUAUUUUUUUAUAGUUUAUAAUAUUAUAAUUAACCAGGAGAAUACAAAUUCGAUCAUGUACUUGCUAUCUAUUUUCAUAGUUCUAACUUUUUGGCAAUACGAAAAUCCAAUAAUAGUUAGCCAAUCCUAUUUAUGUCAAACUAGACAUAAAUAACAAAACUAUAUUCAAAGUCAAACCAAACAAAAAUAGCAAACAACAAAAACAACCACACACAAAUAUACUAAAUAUAGAAGCAAAAAUUCAGUAUAUAAACGUCUUCCUGUCCAAUCACCUAUUUGCACAUCUCAUAUCUAUCAAUAAUUAAAUAAAACACAAGUCCUAAUAAACUUGUAAAGAGAAAAUGGCGGGAAAAGUGUGUAUGGUGAUGGCAUUGAUAAUGAUAGGGUGUGUUUUACAAGCAUGCAAUGGAGCCAAUGUUGAUGAGAGCCAACCAACACAAGAUCCAAAAUUCGAUUGCUUCAGAACAUGUUCCAUAGCCUGUGGCAAACAAAACAAACCUUGUUACGAUGAAUGUUUGACCAAAUGUGGUCUCCCACAGAGACUUCCUAGACCAACAACAUCUUCAUCACCUUCCUCCACCGCUUGAUCUGAUCUUAUUCAAUUUGUGAUUUGUGUCUUUAUUGCUAAGGAUGUCAUCUAUUUGUUUUUCUUUAGCAUGAAAAUUAAAUGAGAUUUAUAUGAUAAAGUUUUUG
rnacentral:lncRNA from 1 species